AGAGUUUGAUCAUGGCUCAGAGCGAACGCUGGCGGCAGGCUUAACACAUGCAAGUCGAGCGGGCGUAGCAAUACGUCAGCGGCAGACGGGUGAGUAACGCGUGGGAACGUACCUUUUGGUUCGGAACAACACAGGGAAACUUGUGCUAAUACCGGAUAAGCCCUUACGGGGAAAGAUUUAUCGCCGAAAGAUCGGCCCGCGUCUGAUUAGCUAGUUGGUGUGGUAACGGCGCACCAAGGCGACGAUCAGUAGCUGGUCUGAGAGGAUGAUCAGCCACAUUGGACUGAGACACGGCCCAAACUCCUACGGGAGGCAGCAGUGGGGAAUAUUGGACAAUGGGCGCAAGCCUGAUCCAGCCAUGCCGCGUGAGUGAUGAAGGCCCUAGGGUUGUAAAGCUCUUUUGUGCGGGAAGAUAAUGACGGUACCGCAAGAAUAAGCCCCGGCUAACUUCGUGCCAGCAGCCGCGGUAAUACGAAGGGGGCUAGCGUUGCUCGGAAUCACUGGGCGUAAAGGGUGCGUAGGCGGGUCUUUAAGUCAGGGGUGAAAUCCUGGAGCUCAACUCCAGAACUGCCUUUGAUACUGAGGAUCUUGAGUUCGGGAGAGGUGAGUGGAACUGCGAGUGUAGAGGUGGAAUUCGUAGAUAUUCGCAAGAACACCAGUGGCGAAGGCGGCUCACUGGCCCGAUACUGACGCUGAGGCACGAAAGCGUGGGGAGCAAACAGGAUUAGAUACCCUAGUAGUCC
rnacentral:rRNA from 1 species